rnacentral:rRNA from 1 species
UACAGAGGAGCCAAGCGUUGUCCGGAUUGACUGGGCGUAAAGCGCACGCAGGCGGAUGCGCGCGUGGGGUGUGAAAUCUGGCCGCUUAACGGCCAGGCGCCAUCCCAUACGGCGCGUCUGGAGUGAUGCAGAGGUCGAUGGAAUUGCCGGUGUAGUGGUGAAAUGCGUAGAGAUCGGCAGGAACACCCAGGGGGAAACCAGUCGACUGGGCAUCUACUGUCGCUGAGGUGCGAGAGCGUGGGGAGCGAACCGG